AGAACGAACGCUGGCGGCAUGCCUAACACAUGCAAGUCGAACGCUCCUAGGGCUUCGGUCUCAGGGGAGUGGCGCACGGGUGAGUAGCGCGUGGGAACCUGCCCUGUUGUGGGGGAUAACCGAGGGAAACUUCGGCUAAUACCGCAUACGCCCCGGGACUUGGUCUUCGGAUUAGGUCUGGGGGGAAAGAUUGAUCGCAGCAGGAGGGGCCCGCGUCGGAUUAGCUGGUUGGUGGGGUAACGGCUCACCAAGGCGAUGAUCCGUAGCUGGUCUGAGAGGAUGAUCAGCCACACUGGGACUGAGACACGGCCCAGACUCCUACGGGAGGCAGCAGUGGGGAAUAUUGGACAAUGGGGGCAACCCUGAUCCAGCAAUGCCGCGUGAGUGAUGAAGGCCUUAGGGUUGUAAAGCUCUUUCGCCGCGACGAUGAUGACGGUAGCGGGAGAAGAAGCCCGGCUAACUUCGUGCCAGCAGCCGCGGU
rnacentral:rRNA from 1 species